GCCUAAUACAUGCAAGUUGAGCGCUGAAGGUUGGUACUUGUACCAACUGGAUGAGCAGCGAACGGGUGAGUAACGCGUGGAGAAUCUGCCUUUGAGCGGGGGACAACAUUUGGAAACGAAUGCUAAUACCGCAUAAAAACUUUAAACACAAGUUUUAAGUUUGAAAGAUGCAAUUGCAUCACUCAAAGAUGAUCCCGCGUUGUAUUAGCUAGUUGGUGAGGUAAAGGCUCACCAAGGCGAUGAUACAUAGCCGACCUGAGAGGGUGAUCGGCCACAUUGGGACUGAGACACGGCCCAAACUCCUACGGGAGGCAGCAGUAGGGAAUCUUCGGCAAUGGACGAAAGUCUGACCGAGCAACGCCGCGUGAGUGAAGAAGGUUUUCGGAUCGUAAAACUCUGUUGGUAGAGAAGAACGUUGGUGAGAGUGGAAAGCUCAUCAAGUGACGGUAACUACCCAGAAAGGGACGGCUAACUACGUGCCAGCAGCCGCGGUAAUACGUAGGUCCCGAGCGUUGUCCGGAUUUAUUGGGCGUAAAGCGAGCGCAGGUGGUUUAUUAAGUCUGGUGUAAAAGGCAGUGGCUCAACCAUUGUAUGCAUUGGAAACUGGUAGACUUGAGUGCAGGAGAGGAGAGUGGAAUUCCAUGUGUAGCAGUGAAAUGCGUAGAUAUAUGGAGGAACACCGGUGGCGAAAGCGGCUCUCUGGCCUGUAACUGACACUGAGGCUCGAAAGCGUGGGGAGCAAACAGGAUUAGAUACCCUGGUAGUCCACGCCGUAAACGAUGAGUGCUAGAUGUAGGGAGCUAUAAGUUCUCUGUAUCGCAGCUAACGCAAUAAGCACUCCGCCUGGGGAGUACGACCGCAAGGUUGAAACUCAAAGGAAUUGACGG
rnacentral:rRNA from 1 species